rnacentral:rRNA from 1 species
AGGGUUUGAUCAUGGCUCAGAACGUACGCUGGCGGCACGCCUAACACAUGCAAGUCGAACGAAGUAGCAAUACUUAGUGGCAGACGGGUGAGUAACAUGUAGGUAUCUUCCCUUUGGCCUGGAAUAACACGAGGAAACUUGUGCUAAUACCGGAUAAGUCUUUACGGAGAAAGCUUUAUGCACCAUUGGAUGAGCCUGCACUUGAUUAGUUUGUUGGUAGGGUAAUGGCCUACCAAGACUUUGAUCAAUAGCUGAUUUGAGAGGAUGAUCAGCCACAUUGGGACUGAGACACGGCCCAAACUCCUACGGGAGGCAGCAGUGGGGAAUCUUGCACAAUGGAGGAAACUCUGAUGCAGCGAUGCCGCGUGAGUGAAGAAGGCCCUUGGGUUGUAAAGCUCUUUCGUCGGGGAAGAAAAUGACUGUACCCGAAUAAGAAGGUCCGGCUAACUUCGUGCCAGCAGCCGCGGUAAUACGAAGGGACCUAGCGUAGUUCGGAAUUACUGGGCUUAAAGAGUUCGUAGGUGGUUGAAAAAGUUGGUGGUGAAAUCCCAGAGCUUAACUCUGGAACUGCCAUCAAAACUUUUCAGCUAGAGUUUGAUAGAGGAAAGCAGAAUUUCUAGUGUAGAGGUGAAAUUCGUAGAUAUUAGAAAGAAUACCAAUUGCGAAGGCAGCUUUCUGGAUCAUUACUGACACUGAGGAACGAAAGCAUGGGUAGCGAAGAGGAUUAGAUACCCUCGUAGUCCAUGCCGUAAACGAUGUGUGUUAGACGUUGGAAAUUUAUUUUCAGUGUCGCAGCGAAAGCAAUAAACACACCGCCUGGGGAGUACGACCGCAAGGUUAAAACUCAAAUGAAUUGACGGGGACCCGCACAAGUAGUGGAGCAUGUGGUUUAAUUCGAAGAUACGCGCAGAACCUUACCAACACUUGACAUGUUCGUCGCGACUUUAAGAGAUUAAAGUUUUCGGUUCGGCCGGACGAAACACAGGUGCUGCAUGGCUGUCGUCAGCUCGUGUCGUGAGAUGUUGGGUUAAGUCCCGCAACGAGCGCAACCCUCACUUUUAGUUGCCAUCAUUUAGUUGGGCACUCUGAAAGAACUGCCAGUGAUAAGCUGGAGGAAGGUGGGGAUGACGUCAAGUCCUCAUGGCCCUUACGUGUUGGGCUACACACGUGCUACAAUGGUAUCUACAACAGGAAGCAAAACGGCGACGUUAAGCAAAUCCUUAAAAGAUACCUCAGUUCGGAUUGCACUCUGCAACUCGAGUGCAUGAAGCUGGAAUUACUAGUAAUCGUGGAUCAGCGUGCCACGGUGAAUGCGUUCCCGGGUCUUGUACACACCGCCCGUCACACCAUGGGAGUUGGUUCUACCUUAAGGCAAGGUUUAAUACCCUUGACCACGGUAUAGUCAGCGACUGGGGUGAAGUCGUAACAAGGUAGCCGUA